rnacentral:rRNA from 1 species
GAAAGAUUCAUCGGAAGAGGAUAGGCAUGCGGCGCAUUAGCUAGACGGCGGGGUAACGGCCCACCGUGGCGACGAUGCGUAGGGGUUCUGAGAGGAAGGUCCCCCACACUGGUACUGAGACACGGACCAGACUCCUACGGGAGGCAGCAGUGAGGAAUAUUGGUCAAUGGGAGAGAUCCUGAACCAGCCAAGCCGCGUGAGGGAAGACGGCCCUAUGGGUUGUAAACCUCUUUUGUCGGAGAACAAAACCCGGGACGUGUCCCGGACUGCGUGUAUCCGAAGAAAAAGCAUCGGCUAACUCCGUGCCAGCAGCCGCGGUAAUACGGAGGAUGCGAGCGUUAUCCGGAUUUAUUGGGUUUAAGGGGUGCGUAGGCGGUCCGUUAAGUCAGCGGUAAAAUUGCGGGGCUCAACCCCGUCGAGCCGUUGAAACUGGCAGACUUGAGUUGGCGAGAAGUACGCGGAAUGCGCGGUGUAGCGGUGAAAUGCAUAGAUAUCGCGCAGAACUCCGAUUGCGAAGGCAGCGUACCGGCGCCAGACUGACGCUGAGGCACGAAAGCGUGGGGAUCGAACAGGAUUAGAUACCCUGGUAGUCCACGCAGUAAACGAUGAAUGCUGGUUGUCCGGGUCGAAUGAGAUCUGG